CGCUCUGCUCUGCUCUCCCCCCACGCGCGCGCACCGGCGCCGCCGCCGCCGCUCCCUGCCGGGCCUGCGCCUCACCCCAUGGAAGAAUACGGCGGCGGUGGCGGGGGCGACUCGCCGGGCCACUAUGGGGGCGACGGCAGCCGCAUCCGCCUUGUCUGCGAGUACUGCGGCCACGGCGACGAGUACGGCCCGGACGACGCCGAGGACGGGUUCUUCGCGUGCCGGCAGUGCUCCGCCAUCCACACCUCCACCCAGGACACCGCCACCAACAUCUUCGACUUCCCCAUCACACCCGGCCACGUCCAGACCCAGCCCACCCCGACCCCCAAGCUUUUCACCCCCAAAUCCAUCCCAGCCCCUCACGGCGCCCCGGCCGCCGCCCUGGGCUUCGACGAGAUGGACGAGUUGGGCGAGCCGAGCGAGCCGCGGGACUUCGCGCCUGGUGCCGACACGUGGGGCCAGCCGGAUGGUCUGGCGGCGCAGGUCCGGUGGCGCUACGUGCGGGGGCUGCAGGUGAUCCUGCAGAGGCAGCUGGAGGCGCUGGUGGAGCGGCACCGGGUGGGAUCGCUCGUGGCUGGCCUCGCGGGCACCAUCUGGCUGCGUUGGGUGGCUGCGUCCAAGGUAUUCGAUGAAAUGUGGGCGCAGAAUGUGCUUGCCAAUGCCGCGGCCACGGAGAGUCAGAUGCCUACUGCCUGUGAAGACGACCACAACACCCUAGACUUGAAGUUUGUGUUGAAGACCAAUGCCCGAAAAAAUCAGUGCAGAGUUGAGUUCUUGUUUCUGCGCUCAUUGAGGACGAUGUUACCUGUGUACUCAACACUGGCUGUUUGUUUCCUUGCCUGUCAUAUUGCCCGGGAAACCAUCCUACCAACUGACAUUUACCGGUGGGUAAUGGAGGCAAAGCUUCCUUAUAUGGCAGUGUUUACCGAAGUGGACAGGCUUCUUGGAAGUUCUGUAAACCACUGUUCUUUAGAUUCAAGGCAGCUGUUCAGGCCAACUCGAGUGAUUGGAGCAUGGCAACUGGAAGCUGCAGCUGGCUCCAUAGCAGAGAGGAUAGGCCUGUUGCUGCCUUCUGUUAAUUUCUACUCGAUUGCCCAGCGCUUCUUAAAGGUGCUGUCUCUACCAAUUGAAAAAAUCCUCCCUCACGCAUGUCGCAUUUAUGAGUGGGCAAUGCCUGCAGAACUUUGGUUGUCCAGUAAUCCUGCUAGAGUCCCCACCCGGAUUUGUGUAAUGGCUAUACUAAUAGUGUCUCUAAGAGUCUUGUAUGGCAUCAAUGGACAAGGGAUAUGGGAGAGUAUUGCACAGACAGAAACUGCAGAUGGGUCUGAUUCUGAAGGUAGUCCGCCACAUUCUUUAAAGCCUGACAACAGCAGCAAUGAGCACAAGGAGUUUGAUGCAAGAGAAUUGUUGUGCACUCUUGCAACUUCUCAUGAUAAAAUUGAUGUUGGACAUGACUAUUCAAAGGAACUUCAUUCUUAUCUCAAAUACUGCAAAGAGGUUAUUUUUACCGGGAUUACAUUUUCACUUGAAGAGGAGCACAUAGUAGAUAUCUUUUGGGAUAUGUACAAAGGGAAAGAGGAUGAGAAUGCAAAACUAAGUCAGGAAGAAAUGAGAACUACAAAUGGAGUGAACAAACGCUGUCGAGAUGGAACUUUUGCUGACGCAAAGUGCUUUUCUGCACCACCACGGAAUUCUGCAUUACAAAGCAUUAAGUCAGAAAUGGAAGAAAAUGGAUUUUGUUAUAUGCCUCCAAGGAAACGGCUGUUUUCAGAUGGUUAUCUUCAUUAUAGAAGGAAGGUGUUAUAUGGUAGUCUGAACUAUGUUGUACAUGCUGAUUAUUACAUAUUGCUACGCUCUUUUGCAAAGCUUGCAGAAGUUGAUGUUAGAAUUUUGCAUAAUGGUGUUUUAAAACUUGAGAGGAGACUUGCUUUGAUAGAAGAAAGAAUAGGGAGAAGCUUGAACACCUUACAGAACCUCCAUGGUGAAGCAAGUGAUGAGCUUGUAUCAGAUUGAAGCUUUGAUCUAUUGUUAUACCGUGCCAAUAUGUUAACUAUCUUCCUUUAAACAUGGAAUGUCACCCCAACUCCCUGAAACCAUGUACAUGAGGAAAGUGAUUUGGAUGGAGUGGCCCAUGGAGCUGUUCUUAAUUCAGAGCAGGCUGGUAGUACAGAGUACAGGUAAAUUGACGACCUAGAUAAUUCCAGUCGUUCCUGCUCAUCUUCGCAUGCCAAUAUUCCAUCGAUCAAGCAACUCACCAAAGUGUGAAAGCCAGAAUGCCAGCCGAACUUUGCAUUAGAGCAUGCGCUUAGCUCAGUUUCUGGGGCAUCUAUGUGCAUUGUCAGUUCCACUACCCAAGUUUCUGUUACCAUGAGUGAUUUUUUCCUGCUCUACCAAGAGAUGCGUCUGGUUCCUCCUGCAUGUGAUAUUCAUUUCAAACUAAUGCACCAGUGUGCAUGAUACCUUCUUGCAACCGUGGUACAACUGUAAGCUAUCAAUCAGCUGUGUUUUGCGUGUGGGAUUUCAGGUGCACUCAUGGGCAGCUACCCCUCGAACAAGACUCCACCCAGCACCUUUCAGCUCAUUCCAGGGAAGUCACAUGAACACACUACUUGCACUAGGAGCGUGGAAGCAUCUCUCUUGAGUCGUCGAUGCUGGAAUUGCCUCCAAAAGAAAUUUGUUGGCUUGCUUUCAGAUUUUUCAGGUGUUAACAGCUUAGGUUUGUGCUAGUGUUUCAAAUCGUAUCAGGGGCAGACUUGUUGCUCUUAUGAAAUGAAGUUUCUGGAAGCAGCUAAUAAGCUACAUUGCCUGUUUCAGAAGGGUCCUUAAUUUCCUGGUGAGGCUUUUCUUAUUUGAAAAAUAAAUCAUCUAACUGCAGUUUUCAGUAGGUAGAUUGCCUGUUUGAGAAGGCAAGUGAUAGCUAAGCUACGCUAGUUGAUCUGGGUCAAUUAUCACUCUUGCUUACGGAUUUGAAAUCGGUUCGAUAGU